AACUAUUCUUAUUUCUCUUCUUUAGACAGAUUUCGCUGUUUUUGGAAACGAUGUUCUGAAAUCACUGGCUUUGUUUGUUACGACUGAAUGAUCAGACAUGGGAACUAUGGAAAGAAGGGACGCCAUUGCAAUUGAUGGAUCCGACAUUGGAGGAUUCAUGCGAUAAGAACCAAAUUCUCAGAUGCAUCAACGUGGGGCUACUAUGCAUAGAGUACAACGCAGAAGACAGGCCGACAAUGUCUGAGGUUAUAUCGAUGCUAACAAGUGAAGUCGUACAGUUACCUACACCGAAGCAACCUGCAUUCACAUCAUCAAGACCGAGAAGCAUGAACAUCGACACAGGCUCAAGCACAAACAAUCUCGAUAGUUGCUCGAUUAAUUAUGUCACGAUGACAACAAUGACUGGUCGGUAGAUAGUUGCUCGAUUAAUUUAUUGAGAAUUCUGCGGUAAGAACCAAAUUCUCAGAUGCAUCAACGUGGGACUGCUAUGCAUAGAGUUCAGGGCAGAAGACAGACCGACAAUGUCCGAGGUUAUAUCGAUGCUAACAAGUGAAGUCGUACAGUUACCUACACCGAAGCAACCUUCAUUCACAGCAUCAAGACCGAGAAACAUAAACAUCGAUAUAGGCUCAAGCACAAGCAGUCCCGGUAGUUGCUCCAUCAAUAAAGUCAUGAUGACAACAAUGACUGGUCGGUAGAUGGCUAGAUAAAAUUAGACUGCAGAUAGAAACCACCCCAUUCUGAAUCAACUGUUAUAUUGGAUUUACCCUGGAAAUUCAAGCUUACAUCCUUUGUCUCUUGCUGAUUACUGUAUCCCUGCCUGCCUUAAUUUGGUAAUGGACCCGCCAGGGCUCGUGGUUGGGGGGAUGAUCCAUCCGUCCAGCUCUAAAGAAAAGAAAUGGUGGAUUCAUGUUCGAGUUUGGAUUUUGAUUUGAACUGUGACCGAAUUCAAAUUUUAGGGCGACGAAACUCGAAAUCUAAGAUGAAGAACAGUAAUACCUUUCCAAUUAUGGCAGCAGCUCCUCUGUUUAUUCUCCUCUGUUCGCUCGUCAUUGUUGACCACUACUCCUCCUCCUCCGUCUUGGCAUCCAUUAACCCAUCUGAUAUCCUGGACCGGAGCACGGCUGACUCCUGCGACGGGAACA
rnacentral:lncRNA from 1 species